ACGAACGCUGGCGGCGUGCUUAACACAUGCAAGUCGAGCGGUAAGGCCCUUUCGGGGGUACACGAGCGGCGAACGGGUGAGUAACACGUGGGUGACCUGCCCUCAGCUCUGGGAUAAGCCUGGGAAACUGGGUCUAAUACUGGAUAUGACUCCACGGUGCAUGUCGUGGGGUGGAAAGCCUUGUGCGGCUGAGGAUGGGCCCGCGGCCUAUCAGCUUGUUGGGUGGGGNGAUGGCCUACCAAGGCGACGACGGGUAGCCGGCCUGAGAGGGCGACCGGCCACACUGGGACUGAGACACGGCCC
rnacentral:rRNA from 1 species